rnacentral:rRNA from 1 species
AUGGUGAUCCCUCCACCAGACAGGGCAGCUAGAAUCGUCAGUUUUCUCAAGCCCAACCUUUUGAGGAUGGAUUUCUCGAACAAGUUUGUGACCGCCCAGGUGAUCCACACCCCAACAACAACUGUCCCGUGUUCUGCGAGCUCACAGGAGAAGCUGCUGAGAUCGCACAUAGAGCAGAAGUACCAUGGGAAAGUCACGGCUGUUAUAGAUUCUGUCGGAGAAGCUGGUGUCAAGUUGUUGUGA